GGGAGACAGAAUGACUCCCUCCAAGAAUAGCCCCUUCACUAUCGGUCACUGAUGUUUAUUUAUCCCAGGUUGAGCCCUAAGGCAAACAACAAGUAUUUGUGCCCUAAAACAAAUAUUUGAGGGCAGGAAAUUAAUGGAAAGCUCCAGGAGAGCAUGGAUUUCAUUCAUCAAGAUUGGAUUACUGUAAUAGGCUCUACAUGGGGCCGCUUCUUAAAACCACUCAAACUUCAUCUGGUGUAGAACCCA